UACGUAGGGGGCAAGCGUUGUCCGGAAUCAUUGGGCGUAAAGAGCGUGUAGGCGGUUCGGUAAGUCGGCUGUGAAAGUCCAGGGCUCAACCCCGGGCGUGCAUUCGAUACUGCGCGGCUCGAGACAGGUAGGGGAGAUCGGAAUUCCUGGUGUAGCGGUGAAAUGCGCAGAUAUCAGGAGGAACACCGGUGGCGAAGGCGGAUCUCUGGGCCUGUUCUGACGCUGAGGCGCGAAAGCUAGGGGAGCGAACAGG
rnacentral:rRNA from 1 species